AGGCUGUAAGAUCCACAAGAGUAGAGACAAUUGCUGGCCGUGCUUAUCACUGUGGACCCAAAGCCUGAAGUAGCAUCUGGUUCAUUAAACACAUGAUGAAUAUAUGUUGAAUAACUAAAUGAAUGAAAACACCGUUCUUCAAGCUCCCACUAACACCUUACCACUCUCUACCAUGUCAACUUAUUUUAUUAUAACAAUUGCUCAUCAUUAAACCGUAUGGUCCUGGAAGAAAAA
rnacentral:lncRNA from 10 species